GUAUAACUCAGUGGUGGAGUGCUUGCAUAGCAUGCAUGAGGCCCUGGGUUUGAUCCCAGUAC
rnacentral:tRNA from 1 species